rnacentral:rRNA from 1 species
CAAAGGCUUGGUCCUGACUUUAC